rnacentral:rRNA from 1 species
ACCAUAGGCUCGUCUCGAAGACUAAGCCAUGCACGUGUCAGUGCACGACCAGCUUGCUGGUACAAGGGAACUGCGGAUGGCUCCUUAUAACAGUGAGUACCGGCCUGCUUAGACAAUCUACACGGAUAACCUAGCCAACUGCUAGGCUAAUACGUGACGUCGAUACCGUUUGGCUUGCCAGACGGUAGCGCAAGGCCAGCAUGAAUGCGGCCUUGCAUGGCCAAGCUUCGGCUUGGCGGCAGACCUACAGAGGUUAAAGUACCUGUCUCGGACAGGUACUACUCUAGGCUGAGCAGACAGCUUUCUGACCCAUUAGCUGGUUGUGAAGGUAGCGGCUUCACAAGGCAGCCAUGGGUACGGGGAAUCAGCGUUCGAUUCCGGAGAGAAAGCCUGAGACACGGCUAUCACAUCUAAGGAAGGCAGCAGGCGCGCAAAUUACCCAAUGCAGACUCUGCGAGGUAGUGAACAGCCAUAGUGACCUGCCCAUGAUUGUGGGCAGGGAGGCCUUCGGGCCUAGCCAUGAUUGACGUCUAAACACCGUGAAGGCCUAGUAGAGGACCAGUCUGGUGCCAGCACCCGCGGUAACUCCAGCUCUGCUAGCCUAUGAUAAUACUGUUGUCUUUAAACGUUCGUAGCCCGCCUAGGAUAGGUCGGGUGUCGGCUGUGUGAGACACCUGCUUGUCUGUCCAGCUCAGCUGGUACAGAUGGACAGGCUGUUGAGCACCUCGGCAGGUAGCUUGCUUCGGCAGGUGACUGUAGCCUACAUCUGGCCUGUCGCGGCGAUAUCGCUAGUAAAUGGAAAUGCUUAAAGUAGGCGAUGCUGGCUUCGGCCAGCCAGCCUGUACUUCAUAGAGUGACACAUCAAUACAGCCAGCUGCUUUUGCAGCUGGCGUGAGCAAUGGGGAGGUCUCAAGCAAGGAGUACUGGCUGGAUAGGGGUGAAAUCCAGUGACCCAGCCAUGACUAGCUGAGGCGAAGGCGCCUUGCUAGAGCCCGCCUCUCGGCGAUGGACGAGAGUGAAGGGCGCGAAGAUGAUUAGAUACCGUUGUAGUCUCCACCGUAAACUAUGCCAGCUCGGCCGGGCCACCUCACCUUUGUGAAGGUUGCCUGGCCCUAGGGAAACUAUUAAGCUCUUCGGCUAGAGGGGUAGUACUGUUGCAAGGCAGAAACUUAAAGGAAUUGACGGAAAAGCACCACCAGGCGUGGAGUCUGCGGCUUAAUUCGACUCAACACGGGGAACCUUACCAGGACAGCACACUGAAUGGAUUGUCGGCUUGCCGAGCCUACCUGAUACUGUGGAUAGUGGUGCAUGGCCAUUCUUAGUUCGUGAAGUGAUUUGUCUCCUUGAUUGAGGUAACGAGCGAGACCCUGAAGGGCUGUUGGGCACGGUCAGUACGCUGGCCGUAGUCUGCCUAGUGCAGCUGCCCCUACCCUGAUCACCGGCGCCUAGCCGGGCGAGACAGGACAAUAAUAGGUCUGUKAUGCCCUUAGAUGCCCUGGGAUGCACGCGUACUACACUGACGAUCACAGCGAGUAGUCUGGCGGAUAGGCCUAGCCUAUUCGCCUGCUGCGCCGACAGGCGUGGCGAAGCUACAAUGGCCGUCACGGUAAGGAUUGCUGCCUGCAAGGGCAGCAUGAAUGAGGAAUGCCUUGUAAGCGCGCUUCAGCAUAGCGCACUGAAUACGUCCCUGCUUUUUGUACACACCGCCCGUCGCAUCAAGGAACUCAACUGAGGCAAUGAGGCUGCUGGACGAAAGGAAAGCAGCCGAAUAGCCUUGGUCUUACCAUGAUGAAGUCGUAACAAGGUAUCC